UACGAAGGGGCGAGCGUUGUUCGGAUUUACUGGGCGUAAAGGGCGCGUAGGCGGCCCUGUUUGUCAGGCGUGAAAGCCCUGGCUCGAACCCCGGAACGGCCUUUGAUACUGGGUGUCUUGAGUUCGGAAGAGGUGAGUGGAAUUGCGAGUGUAGAGGUGAAAAUUCGUAGAUAUUCGCAGGAACACCAGUGGCGAAGGCGGCUCACUGGUCCGAUACUGACGCUGAGGUGCGAAAGCGUGGGGAGCAAACAGG
rnacentral:rRNA from 1 species